GACGGUGGGCGGAGCUUCACCCCACAGGGAACGCCCGUGUUGAAAGAGACCUGACAGCUCGGCAAGAUUAAUAGUGAACACGUUAAAUAUUUGUCCUUGGUGUGGCUCUCGACCGCGACUGUUUUAUUUAUUCGUUAUUCCGCUAAUGCCGUUCGCCGUACGUUCACAGCACUUUGUUCCUUGACCCCUCUCAUCCCCUUCGUUAUAAUGCGGUCGUGUCCCCUGUGAAACUACGGACCCCCCGUUCCUCACGUGUCCCCCUCCGACUGGGACCGGCGUACGCGUGUAGAAUUGAUGGCGAGCGCUCCUUAAAGACGGUCACAGCAGUGACCGCGAAAAGCAGGGGGCCGAGAGAAGGCGCCGGCUGUGUUUUUCCCUCUGGUCGAUAACGGAUGAAAACAGGGCUCCAUCUAUUUCGAAAAAAAAAAAAGGUUGAAAGGUGCGCUCCCAUUGCGUCGGGUACGAGCAGGAAUUCAUCAACCUGUCCCAACCCACAGACCGCUUUCACACACCAUUUCUGCAUUCGUGCCUUGGGAACCGCAGGCAGAGCCUCUCUACCCCGACCUGCCGGGAGUCCUGCUGCUGCACUUGGUCCCCUGAGGUCAGAGGUCAUCUUCAACCGUUCCGGACUCGUUCUGGAUCCACCUCCAUCAUCUCGCACACUCGAGUUUUUCUGACAGGUCGAGUGCUUCCGGUUUCGAUGUGUGCUCUAUGAUCCAUAUUUCAGACAGUUUCGGGAGUUUUCUUGUUCCUUUCUAUUUAACUUAUGUCUCUGUUCUAGGAAACUACCAACAAACUGUUCCUGAUAGUAUCACACUGAAUUUUGUAAUAAGUAUGUGAAAUGUAAUUUGACGCCGGUGACGCCACAUAGUGACUUUGUGUCAUUUAGUAUGACGGUCAUGUUGUGGAGCGACGGCCUCUUCUGCUACUGCGGCUCUCUGUUUCGGCACGUCUCCCAGGUAGAGCCUCAGCGCAUCAAUUAAACGGUCGAGGGGGGACUGAUGAUGAUCACAGGAAAGGGCCUCUCAGUCUCUCACCAUCGAGGAAGAUUAGAUCAGGGGUGAUGAGUGAACAUCAGAAGGAACCGGUACGGUCGGCUCAGGGUUUAUUGAUCCCCAUUUAACAGGAGCCUCUCUCUCUCUCUCUCUCUCUCUCUCUCUCUCUCUCUCUCUCUCUGUCUGUCUGUGACUGGUUUAUCAAACACAGUUUAAAAAAAAAAAAAAAAAAACCUUUUUUGAGGUUUAACGAGAGGAUCAGGAUGACAGAGAAAGGGCAACCGUCACCAUGGCCCACACGGUUUAAUGCUCGAUUGAAACCAGGCUCUUGGAACAGACCUGCGAAAGGUUCUUGUUUUAUUGACCAUAGUGACCAGUGUUGACUGGAAACCAGUUUAGCCGCCUGGUUGGAAUUCCAGCAGAUUUUAUUGUGCGUGCGUACGUGUGUGUGUGUGUGUGUGUGUGUGUGUGUGUGUGUGUGUGUGUGAUUUCCUUGUAAUGGAAUGGCAUCCUGUCCAGUGUGUACCCUGCCUCACCAGGAUAGGCUCUGCACCACCGUGACCCUGCACUGGACAAGUAGUUACGAUAAUGGAUGAAUGAAUGAAUAUAUUGCCCAUGGGAUUUGGGAUCAAGACCCAAACAGAUUGUACACUACACUGUCACAGAAAUAAAGCAGCAGAAAAUACACUGUUUUCA
ensembl:lncRNA